rnacentral:rRNA from 1 species
AGAGUAUGAUAGAGGAAAGCAGUAUUUCUAGUGUAGAGGUGAAAUUCGUAGAUAUUAGAAAGAAUACCAAUUGCGAAGGCAGCUUUCUGGAUCAUUGCUGACACAGAGGAACGAAAGCAUGGGUAGCGAAGAGGAUUAGAUACCCUCGUAGUCCAUGCCGUAAACGAUGUGUGUUAGACGUUGGAAAUUUAUUUUCAGUGUCGCAGCGAAAGCGAUAAACACACCGCCUGGGGAGUACGACCGCAAGGUUAAAACUCAAAUGAAUUGACGGGGACCCGCACAAGUAGUGGAGCAUGUGGUUUAAUUCGAAGAUACGCGCAGAACCUUACCAACACUUGACAUGUUCGUCGCGACUCUAAGAGAUUAGAGGUUUCGGUUCGGCCGGACGAAACACAGGUGCUGCAUGGCUGUCGUCAGCUCGUGUCGUGAGAUGUUGGGUUAAGUCCCGCAACGAGCGCAACCCUCACUUUUAGUUGCCAUCAUUAAGUUGGGCACUCUGAAAGAACUGCUAGUGAUAAGCUGGAGGAAGGUGGGGAUGACGUCAAGUCCUCAUGGCCCUUACGUGUUGGGCUACACACGUGCUACAAUGGUAUCUACAACAGGAAGCAAGACUGCGAGGUCAAGCAAAUCCCUAAAAGAUACCUCAGUUCGGAUUGCACUCUGCAACUCGAGUGCAUGAAGCUGGAAUUACUAGUAAUCGUGGAUCAGCGUGCCACGGUG